rnacentral:rRNA from 1 species
UACGUAGGGGGCAAGCGUUGUCCGGAAUGAUUGGGCGUAAAGGGCGCGUAGGCGGCUCUGUAAGUCUGAAGUGAAAGUCCUCUUUUCAAGGGAGGAAUUGCUUUGGAAACUAUAGAGCUUGAGUGCAGGAGAGGUUAUCGGAAUUCCCGGUGUAGCGGUGAAAUGCGUAGAUAUCGGGAGGAACAUCGGUGGCGAAGGCGGGUAACUGGACUGCAACUGACGCUGAGGCGCGAAAGUGUGGGGAGCAAACAGGAUUAGAUACCCCGGUAGUCCCUGA